UACGAAGGGGGCUAGCGUUGUUCGGAAUUACUGGGCGUAAAGCGAGUGUAGGUGGUUGUCCAAGUUGGAUGUGAAAGCCUUGAGCUCAACUCAAGAAAUGCAUUCAGGACUGGAUGGCUAGAGGACCGGAGAGGAUAGUGGAAUUCCCAGUGUAGUGGUGAAAUACGUAGAGAUUGGGAAGAACACCAGUGGCGAAGGCGGCUAUCUGGACGGUUUCUGACACUAAGACUCGAAAGCGUGGGGAGCAAACGGG
rnacentral:rRNA from 1 species